AGACGCUUGUUAGUUAUGAACUUAGGUGUCUGGUCUGUUUCUUUGCCUUUCAAAGGCACUUCCUGGCAGAGAGGUACAAUGGUGCUUUGCAGGAAACCCUGUGCCCACAGCAUCUGUUCUGCAGCUUGGCAGACCGCAGCUGGCCCUGAGCAUGGCCUACUAAUUCUCUGGGUCAGGUGUGGCUGUGGUGAGAUGGAUCUCAGCCAGACAUCCUCCUGACAGCUGAAAACAAGACCAGCAGAAGCAACCAACCCUCACUGCUCACAGCUUGGGCCCAGUGCUCAGCCCCAGGACCAGCUGACACUGAUAGUAGCUGUUUUAAACCACAGGAAUAAAAUGGAGGAAAAAUCAUCUUCCAAAGACGAGAAAUGCUGCUCACAAAAGAAAGGUGCUGUGUAGAUUCCCAGUAAACAAUAUUAUCUAUAAAUGACUCUGGGAAUCACUAAUAAGUGAUGAUGAAGCUGAUUAUGCAUUAUAUAAAUGUUUAGAUUUGAAAAAAAUUGAUUUAUAGCAUAUAAAAUCCCAUUAUUUUAUAUUACUGAAAUAGGAAUAUGAAGGAAUGGAAACAUUUUAUUUUAAAAACAUAAAGUUACACUAAGACAUUAGCUCCUUUGACUCACAUAUUUCAAAAACAAUGACGGUUUUCAGUGGAAAAUAAUGCUAAGAAGUUCUGAAAAUAACAGUAAUAAGGAAGAAUUUGAGUAAUGAAACAUUUAUUCACUCAUUUUCCUUCAAGUAUGUACAAUAUAGCUAUAAAAUAAUUAGACUAAAAAAUGGCAGGCACAGCAGAACCUUAAACCAACAAAUUUAAAGUAUAGACAUUUUGUUGGUAUAAUAAGAGCAUUAAUAUGUAUUGAAUGUUUACCAAGUGCAGGUAACUAUUAUAAAACCUUUAUUGGCAUGAUCUGAAUUAGUUCUCAAAACAAAUAGUUGGCAAACUAAGGCCUGUGGGCCAAACUCGGCCCACCUUCUAUUUUUGUACAGAGUUUUAUUGGAACACAGCAACACUCAUUCAAUUAUGCAUUGUCUAUGGCUACUUUUAUGCUACAGAAUUGAGCUGUAGUGGCAGAGACUGUAUGGACUACAGAGCCUGAAGAAUUUGCCAUCUGGCCCUUUACAGAAGAAGUUAGUUGAUCCCUGCAAAACAAUCCAAUGGAGUAGGUACUGUUAUUUCUGCUUUACCCCAAGGUCACAGAAUGGUAGUUGUCAGGGUAGUGAUUCAAAUCCUGAACUGUCUGACUAUAAAGUCUAUCAUCUUUUUAGAUAGAUUUAUAGCACAGAGCACAGGCCCUAGAGUCAGACUGUUUGGGUUCAGAUCAGAUUCUACCAUCUAGUAACUGCAUAUUGGACAGUUUGCUUAACUGCCCUGUACCUCGGAUUCCUCCAUAACUCUUCCCAUUGGUAAUAGAUGUGGCUGGUCAUCCUUCGUGUCAGUACAGGCCUUGGACCCGGGGUGUCUGUCCUAGGCCCUGCAUCUCAGGGCCUCCCAUGCUUUGGAGUGCCUCCUUCAACAUUCUCAAAGUUUCUCUGGGAACAGCUGGAGUAGCAGUGCCAUCUGGGCAGGGUACCCUGAGCUGGGACCAGUAAGUAUCCUAGUCCCCAUUUCUGCCCUUUGGAUUGCUCUUUGAUCUCUACUUCCCAGCCCUCAUGUGGGGCUGAUCUGAUGCCCCAAGGAGCUCCAGGACUCAUAUCUGUGGGUUUAUUUUGGGAUCCUUGACCUGGCCCUGAUUCCGGGUGGGUGACCAGAUGAGCCACUGCUCCCCAGAAUAGCCCAGUUUUUCUUGUUGAGUCACCAGGCAAGUGCAGACAUGUUGAUUUUGAUGACUCUCACUUACGUAAAACCCAUACGUUCAGGGCUCUGAGGUUCUCAUGGCCCACUGCUGGCCCUUGACUAGAGCCAUAUGUGGGGUCCAUGUGUCAGGUCUCACCUCUCCAUGUCUGAAUAAAUAGUGGCUUCCAUUCUACAGCACCCCAAGGUAGUAAAGGUGGUGUCACUUACCCUCUCCCCUGUACCCCUCCCAUCACUAGCACCAGGAAAGUCAAACCCCAUCGCUGAGCAUUCCUCCAGAGCAUUGUCUGUCCCCAAAGAACAUUUGACACUUGUUCUGCAAUGUUAGCAGACCCUCCUGCUUGAGGCCCUCCAAUCGAUGUGUUGCCUGUGUCAAUGUGUUGACAUGAACCCUCUGUGCUUAAGCCAUGUUGGGGAGACGUGGACAUUUCUUGUACAAAUAGGACCACUCUUCUUUUUCUACCCAUGGGUUUCCCCCACCUCCCCAUGGUGAAAGUGUGUGGAAGGCAAAGGUGCUGUCAACAUUAAAAGAAAUCACAUUCUAGGAAUGCAGGAAUUACCGUAGGGAGUUCAAGAGAAGAUAUGGUCAGAAAAUAUGCUCUUCUAUAUUUAUGCUAUAAAAUUUCAAACAGUGAAUUUAACAUUCUCAGAAAAUGAAUUAACAUUCACAUUUUCCUGCAUAUUCUGGGCAAGACUUGACUUUGUGGUCAUCAUCUCCAAAACACAGUAACCGCCCUCCCUUGAGAGCAUCAGUGGAAGCCAGGAUUCAUGGGUGGCAGCAGGGAUGACACAACAUCAUGAUUGAUGAUAUAACCAGCAUUAAAUAAAUGAUAUUAAGGAAAUCCAGAGGCUAGAAAAGCUGUUAUUUCAAUACAAACAAAUGCUGAAGAGCCAGUGUUGUAAUAACAGCAUUGCAACCCUUUUCUCCCAGUGAGACAUGUGGAAUUAGCACAUCUAACAAUAAAAAACACAAAGAGGAUUCUGGCAUCUGCACAGAAAGUGAUGGUGCCUAGACACUAUGAAAAAAUCUUCCCUUGCACUGAUUGAACAAUAAGCAAAUACAAAAAUACCUGUUCUUUACCCAUUAUUCUAAAUCUUCAUUGAUAAAUCAUGACUCAGAUAGGCCUACGAAUUUUGUAAAACAUUAAAUCAAAUUCCUUAUACAGACAGGGACUUGGCAGAAAAUAUUUUCCAGGGACACAUACCAUAAAGAUGCCCUGCUUGGUAUUACCUCAUUUUCUUUUCUAUGAAGUCACUCUUGCUUUCACUUGCAGUUUCUCCUGUCUUUCUUCACGUUGGUGCUUUCCCAUGUUUUUUUUUUUUUUCUCGUUUAGGGUGUUCUUUCCUUCUUUUCAAAAAUCACUUUAUGCUUUGUAAUAUUUGUAGCCCUCAACUUCUUUCCAAGCAGGUAAUUUUGCCUUUCUCUCUGUCUCUUUGGUCAUCUGCCUGUCUUAGCCUUUCAGACAUUCUCACACUGUAAUACACACAUGCACGUGCACACACACACUCUAUACAUAUACACUAUGCACAUAUCAUAUAUACACACAACUGAUAAACAUUUUGUUUUAACGUACAAGCAGCAUGUUUACACAGAAUUUGUCCUUGGCUUUAGUAACUAUACUCACCAAAUAGAGGGCUACAUAUGUGAUACAGGAGAGUCAGUCCAGGAUUACUUGCUUUCAUUCUCAAUCUUGUCUGGAUAAUCAGGUUACAGUAUGCUAAGGACAUCAAGAUGCCCAGAAUGGCACAAGUGGAAAUUCUUUUAGAUGCCUUGUUGUGCGCUCUUGAGUGUCUGUGGUUAGAACUUGAUUCUUUACUGGCCUAUGGAUCAAGUGUCCUGUGGUUUGUGACAGCUGCAGCAUUGGAUGAGAUAACUGGGGGUGCCAGGCAUAAUUCAUCCCCGUAUGUCCACAUUCUGACUAUAGAAAGCUAUUGACCUAAAAUAACAUUUUAUAUCAUUUAAAAAUAUUUGGGUAGCCUAAGAUCCAUUUUUUUGUUUUGGAUCAGGAGGUACUACAUCCAAUUUUUACAUGUCGUACCUCUUUGUUUUCACAGAUAAUUUAUAUUUCUUUAUCUCUGACACUAUUUGGCUGUCCUAGAAAUAGCUGAUGACACCAAUUAGGAGAUACGCUCAGUCACUGAUGACGUCCUAUCCUAUUAUGUGUUCAUGCACAGCAGGGCAGGGUAUCUGAAAUGCAUUUGCUUUAGCACAUUUAGAUAAUGUGUGGGAAAGGUGACAGGUUUUUAUUUUCUUUUUUGCCAAUUUGUACAUUAGUGUCUCUUAAGUGGCAGAUUAAAAAUUUCUUAAAGCACUAACACUGAUUAAAAAUGUUUGUUUAGGCUUGUUCAGAACUCUUAAGUGCUUGCAGGAGCCAAAUCACAUUCUCGUCCUUUAAGCAAACAACAUUUUAAAAGCCUAUAAUGGCUGUAUCUUAUUGAAGCAAAUGAUAAUAACUUUCUAUAGGGCUAUUUUCUUUUAUAAGGUAAAUAACUAAAACUUGUAAAUAUGGAAAAAUAAUCCAGAUCCAUAGACAUAUUUGUAAGUAUAUAUUUCUUAAAAAUGUUUCAGUCCUAUUAGUCUCUAUCAUUUUAAUACACUGGCAAAAUAUAUAGUACUUUGUUCUUUUCUCAAAACUCUUUUUCAGAAUUUAUGGCAUUUCUUGUACCUGGUAAAGACUACUGAUAAGCCAUUUCUUGUGGACUAAUAAAAAAAAUUAGUUUUUGGUAAGCAUUAAUUUUAGUCUCUGCUUUUUAUCUGUUUAUUCAUUCUUUCAUCCUUCAUUCAGCAAUAGCUUCUGUGCUGGGCUGGGAGUCAGGUUGGAGGAAUGUGCCCUCUCACCAGGAGGAUGGACUUGAUUGUAUCACUGUGGGGGACCCACUGAAUAGUGGGACCUCUGCAAAGUGCAGUGCAGCCCAAGAGGAGAGAACAACUGAUUCUAACACAGGCUUCACAGAGAAGGUGACAGAGGUUUUAACGGGUUAGUAAAAAAGGAGUUCAUGCAAAGACAGAAAGGCUGAAAAGACGGGUAUUUGGGGAGUUCUGCAAUGGUAAAUGAGGGGGAAGCUAAAUGUGUGUGGCUGGUGGCAUAAGUAACGUGGGAUGUGUAGAUUGAGGCCAGAAGGCGAAGGGACUUGAGUGCCAUUUUCAAGACUUUGUUUGGACUUUGUCUCCUAGCUAUGGAGACCUCAUAAGGACCUUUAGUCAGGGUGGUGACUUAAGAGUGGGCACUAUUGGAAUCAGAGGCUCUUACAAUAACUGUGAGAGGGAAUAAGGACUUAAGGCAAAGACCUUCUUUGUGAUUAUAGACAAAUUUAUUAUGCAAUACAAUAGAUAAAAAAGAUUAAUGCAUAAGUCUUCAUAGCCCCUCUUCCUCUUCUUCCCCAUACCCCCCAGGAAAAUUCUAGCAGAGCUAUGGAUUAUGAAUUGGAUUUUCUUUGGAGUUCUUUAAGAGAAGAAUAUAAAUAUUCUAAAUGCUUUAAUUCUUCUUUGUUGCUACAUCUUGAUUUGUUUGUUUUUUCACUGUAACUGCACUGAGAUCAGUCCCCAUGGAGCUCUAGGUUAUUAGGGCUACAUAACAUGUUUUUUUUUUAGGAGAGCCAGUAUAAUGUUGGGUGACCCAAAGGUUUAUGCCUACUUGGGGGCAGUUUGAAGACCUACUAGUUAGUCACAUCUACAAAGAUAAGAUAGGCAAGGUUUUAAAAACCCAAAUCCUGUCUGGUUUCCUGCUACCACAGUAAUUUCCUGAGGAAUACUCCAGGAUAAGAACAUGCUGUUUAUUACCAGCUAGGGCUUUGUCCUUGACACCUCACAAAAGUGCCUGUUCCAGGUCAUGAACUUGGGUCAAUCUGUGGGCAAGAUGUAAGAACCCUUUGCCUCCUCUGAACUCGGAAGCAAUUGAGAUGACAUCCAUCUUUGGAUGUUCUCUCCUGGACUCUACCUGGUUCCUGCUUGGUUUUCUAACAGAGGGAAAAAAGAGGAUGCCGCUUUCCAACCAUAAGGAGGCCUCCAUCCAAUCUUAUCCUAUCAGCUGCCAGGAAGGAAAAAGAGAGAAGUGAUCUCUGUUCUAAGAAAGUUGCAUUUUAAAGGAAGAAGUUCUGAAUGAAGUGCCCCAAUCAGGAGCAAGGAUGCUUAUCUUCUUUCCUCCUCUGAUAUGGUUUGACCGUGUCCCUACCCAAAUCUUAUCUUGAAUUGUAGUUCCCAUAAUCCCCAUGUGUCAUGGGAGGGACCCAGUGGGAGGUAAUCGAAUCAUGGUGGUGUUUACCUGCAUGCUGUUCUCGUGAUAGUAAGUUCUCAUGAGAUCUGAUGGUUUUAUAGGGGCUUUUCCCCUCCUUCUCUCUGCACUUCUUCUUGCUGCCACCAUGUGAAGAAGGGUGUGUUUGCUUCCAUUUCUGCCGUGAUUCUCUUUCCUGAGGCCUCCCCAGCCCUGCAGAAGUGUGAGUCAAUUAAACCUCUUUCCUGUAUAUUUAAUCAACUAUCUAGUCUCUGUUAUGUUGCUCCAUUAGCAGCAUGAGAACAGACUAAUACAGCUAACCCACUUUACCCUUAGCAGCAUAGAUUCAAUUCCACCUUCUUUGUGGAAUUGAAUUCCUAAUUCAUAUUAGGGUGUUGGGCAGAGUGAGUAUUUGACUUUCAUUUAUUCAUUGGAUUUUACAUCCAGGUUGUGCCACUAGCACAAACAGUUCAUGGAGGGCCUUGUAUACCUGUUUAGGAAUUUGGGCUUUGUAUGGUAAAGGAGAGUUUCUGAAGGUUGUUAAUUAGGGACUUUAUGGGUUUAGAUGUUCAGUUAGAGAAGCUUAAAAUAUUUUUUAAAAUAUAGUAUCUAAAAAAUAUUUUUAGAGCCCAUCACUCAAAAUUAAAAAGGAAAAACAUUGGCAGGGGUCAUUCUAAAGACAGUGAAAUAGUUAGGAAGCUGUUGCUAUAUAAUAGAAGCAAGGUAUGAUGAGGGCCUGAAUGGAGUCAGUGGCAGUGGGAUUGGAGAAAAGAGAUUGGACAUGAGAAAUAUUUAGGAGGCAAAAGAAGAGGGUUGUGUGGAAAAAGGAGUCACUUCCCGGGUUUUGUCCUGAGAAGCUGGCUGGAUGGUAUUGUCACUCACAAGCACAGGAGAAGGAGGAUGGAAGCAUAUUUUUGUUGGUGGUGAACUUGAUUUGAAAUAUGGUAAAUUUGGGGUUCUGGCAGGCCAAACAAGCAGAGAUGUCCAGGGCUCAUCUGGAUAUUCAGGUCUGAAGCCCAGGAGUUGUAUUUGGGCAGGAGAUAGAGAUGUGGGAGUCAUCAGAAAAUAGAUGGCAGUUGAAGCUCUGAAACAAGACAUCACCAAACAGAAGAAUGAGAAUGACCCUAGGGUGCGUGGUAGCAAUGGGGUCAGUAGUCGAAGAAGAACCGGGAAGGAUUCACAGUGGUGUAGUUGGUGGGAGAGAAGGAAAACCAGAGAGAAGGGAGUGAGAGGAGCAGCAGUGCCCUGGAGAGUCAAGUGCUGCAGAGAAGAGAAGAAAGGGAGGUAGGGUGGGGAACAUCUGUGACUUUAGGAAGGUGGUUCAUUGGUGACUGCUGAGCGCAGCUUCAGUGAACGGUGGCAGUAGAUCUGGAGGAAAGUGACUCAGUGAAUGUGAGGUGAGCAAAUGGAGACAUUGGUGUAAAUGCCCCUUUCGAGGUUGUGGAAGUGGCUCACGUUUUUGAGGCAGGGCUGUGUUUGUUUUUCAGAGGUAGGGACUCGAGCAUAUUCUCUGCAGAAGCCCCCAGUCAGUGAGACUGGUAAAGACUGUUGUCAUGUAGUCAGAGGCAGAGUCUCAGUUCUACUCCUUCUCUUAUCUCUGUCACACUGAACACUUCUGCUCUUUCUUAAAUCACCAGUUGGCUCCUGGGGCUCCCAGGCCUUUCUGGGUUUGCUCUGGGUUUAUUCACCUCUUGUGUCAGUCUGUUCUCAUACUGCUAUGAAGCAAUACCCGAGACUGGGUAAUUUAUAAAGGAAAGAGGUUGAAUUGACUCAUAGUUCUGCAGGACUGGGGUUGCCUCAGGAAACUUAUGGUCAUGGCAGAAGCGGAAGCAAACAUGUCCUUCACGUGGCAGCAGGAGAGAGAAGUGCAAAGGGGGAAAACCCCUUAUAUAAAAACAUCAGAUCUUGUGAGAACUCACUAUCAUGAGAACAACAUGAGGGUAACUGCCCCCAUGAUUCAAUUAUCUCCUGCUGGGUCCCUCCCAUGACACGUGGGGAUUACGGGAACUACAAUUCAAGAUGAGAUUUGGCUGGGGAUGUAGCCAAACCACAUCACCCCUGUUAGAGGUGGAGGAUUUGCUGUGCCCCACUCACUGCCACCCCCACUGCCACCAGGGCAGUCAUGUCUCACAUGGUGCGACAUUUGGUAUCCCCACUCCUUCACCCACUUGUGCCUUCAGAGAGGACUCGGAGCCCUCAGGAGAGCUACAGGGUAGUCCCGUAAAUAGCCAGGGGCCAGUGAGAUGAUGUACUCUGAGGAGAGGCUUCCCACAAUACAAACCUUAGGUGUCAAAUGUGCUAUGAGGACACUGAGGCAUUGUACCCUCAGCACCUGUGGCAGGUAGGUGGGGCCCAGGCCAGCCACAACAGCCCUUUCAUUUCCCCAUGGUGCUGUCCCAAUGUCAUAAUUUUCUUUGUCAUGAUAUGGGAAGCACUGCCUGAUGGGGCCCCACCUCCAGCACAUUGGCUGUCUCUCUGUCACUUGGCUUCCUGAAUGGUAUUUAAACGCCCCCCGCAUCACUGUUGGGUCUCAGCAAACUCUCUGGCCUCUUGUUCAAUUUGCCCUCUGCAUACUGGGAAGGCCUAUUUAACUUUGCCUGGCAUCUGUGUGGAAGAAACACUUCUUAGGCAAAGAGCUCCUGGAAGACAAUCUCCCUAGCAACAAUGAAGCAUCCUCUCUACAGUCUUUUCUGCCUCUCUUUUGUUGUUAUCUGGAUGACAGGGAUUGAAUCUGGCCUCUGCCCAUAUCAAAUGCUGUCUGGGGCUGGAAACAAGCCUCAAAACAUGUUUUAAAUAUUUUAUUUCCCCCCGUCUCCCCUAAGUCUGCCCACCAUGCAUACGCUUGAUUAAAGUUAUGCCCCAGUGAUCAACUGUGAGUGACAGUGACCCUCCUAAAGGUAGUCUACUUAGCCUCUGGGCUCAGGCAACACACCUGUGUCUGAUUAGACACUGUUACCCUGCUUGAACCUGUGCCACAUGAAAGCAGCUUUCUCUUGUGCUCUGGUAGUGGGAGAUGCUUUCUUGUAAUGUUAAUGCAGGGCUAGACUUUUCUCCUGCUGAUCCUUUGCCUGGAAUGUUCUCCUCUUCCUUGUCACCAGCCAGAGCACCACUAAAUCAGUGUAAACUCCUUAAGGGAAGACUAAAGUCCUGGGAAGUGGGGUCAUCCUGGCCUUAUCUCCUUAAAGAACCUAACUCUUCAAGGGGGUCUUCCCUGUUAACCCUCUGUAUUAGUUGGCUAGGGCUGCAGUUGCCAGUACCAUGAACUGCGUGACUUAAACAACAGAAACUAAUUGUCUCACAGUUUUGGAGAUCAAGAUCAAGGUGCCAGCAGGUUUGGUUUCUCCUGAGACCUCUUUCUUUGGCUUGCAGAUGGCCACCUUCUUGUUGUGUCCUCCCAUGGCCUUUCAUCUGUGUGUGUGCAUCCCUAAUGUCUCUUCCCCUUUUUAUAAGGACGUGAGUCCUAUCCAAUUAGGGUCCCACCCUUAUGAGCUCAUUCAGCCUUAAUUACUUCUUCAAAGGCUUUAGCUCCAAAUAUAGUCACACUGAGGGUUAGGGCUUCAACAUAUGAAUUUUAAGGGAACACAGUUCAGUCCACCUCAUUAUCCUUAACGUUUUCCAUUUUUCUGUAUUCUCUCCAGUGCUUGGGUAUUGCAUCAGUUUCCUAUAAUUGCUUUAGCAAAUUACUAAAAACUUGGUGGCUAUAAACAACAGAAAUUUAUUGUCUCACAGUUCUAGAGGCCAGAAGUCUGAAAUCGGUGUCACUGGGCCGAAAUCAAGCUGUCAGCAAGGCUGUACUCCCUCCAGAGGCUCUAGGGGGAAAUCUGUCCCUUGCCUUUUUCACUUUUUGGUGGCUGGCAGCAUUCCUUGAUUUCUGGAUGCAUCAAUCCAUCCUCUGUGGUCACAUUGUCUACUCCUCUUCUGGUCAAAUUUCCCUUUGCCUCUCUCUUAUAGGGACAAUCGUGAUUGCAUUUAGGGUCCACCCAGAUAAUCCAGACUAAUGCCCCAUCUCAAGAUCCUUAACUUAAUCAUAUCUGUAAGGCCCCUUUUACCAAAUAAGGUGACAUUUAUAAGUUCCAGACAUUAGAAUCUCCUAUCUUGGGGGCCAUUAUUCCACCAGCCACAGGAGUAUUGUUCAUAAUAUAUCAUUUGAUGUUUAAACAAAUGAUGUAUCAUUUGAUGUUUAACAGCUGACCUACAAAAAGAGCCCUUGUUGCAAGGGCAGGAGACACAAAGAUGUUUUUGCUGGGUGUGUUCAGACAAGAUCACACCCUUCAUACCAUAAUCUAGAGCCUUGGCUCUGUCCUCCCACAUGACCUUCGCCUGAGGGGAGGGGCUGGGGACUAGGGAGCCAAGGAGUCUCCCUGGGGAGGUGAGGUUUCAGAUGAUCCAGGGGUUGGAAGAAGUUUCUCCCAUGCAUUUUUAUCUCAUGGCUGGUUAAGAGGGGUGGGCAUCCCACUCCCGGAAGCCAUUUCACUUUGAAUACUUUGUUUACUUCUGGUUAGAAGAGUCUUCAGGAGUGUGGGCUCUGGUAAGAAGGUCCCAUUUUCCCUGGACUUAUACAACCAGGUCUGCUUCUUGUGUUUUGCUAUCGUGACACUUUUACAAUUUUUCCUCUCAGUUACCUAAGGUACCUGAUGAAUAGUCAACAUGUUUGUGAAGUCCAGAGUGCCAGAUGUAUUGAAAAUGAGCAAUUUUAAUCAACGGUGAACCUACCUCUUUAUAUUUUUUUUUUAAAAAGAGGGCGAUUACUGAAGCUUCACAAAUAGUGCUUUAUUUAGUCAUAGGAGCCAUGAUCUGGUACUAGGAUGGGAGGACUUUAUUGGCUGCUAAUCUAAGAUUGUGUUUGUCUGUUCUUCCUUCUUGCCAUUUAUGGUGGAAAAAUCUUCCAGAGCACCACAGGUGUUUUGUUUCUUGCUUCUAGUCCCAUCCCAAUUUCAUUUUCAUGAAAUGGGAGUCAGGUUUGGAAGAUAAUUACCAAUUUCCUUUUCCUACUUUUAACAAUGCCCCUGCUUACGGUACAAAGUUGUGUCUGAACAUUACUGCUUAUUCUGAAAAACUCAAUAUGUAAUUUUUAAUGUCGUUUCAAGCCUUUUGAAGUUUCAUCUGUUUCUGGGGCAUUGCUAAUGGUUUACCUUACAACGCAGAAAGAACUUAUAAAGGAGAUGUCAGGAGAAAAUAAUAAUCUCCUCAAUGCAAUCAUGUCAUUAAGAUGCUACUGUUAAGAGUGGGGGAUGAGGCAGAGGAAAGACCAGACAGUGACUUAGAAACAUGAGCAUUUGGCAUCGAAGGCAUUACUGUCUUGAAGCCUUCUGGCCUGUAGGGUGUAUGGAAACAUGUCAGUUAUGGAGAGUUUUAUAUUAAUCUCCUGUACCAUCUAAUUUGGUUGAUUCAAAAUUAGGUUUAAUUACAAGUGAUCUUCUGGCACUAGGGAGACCGGCCAACAAUAACCUUCAUUAUCUCUUCUGGUGAAGGCCACAUUUGCUCUCAGGUAAAUCUCUCAGAAAAGCUCAUCACUGCCCAUUUUUCUUUGGUCCCAGGCAAAAUUAUGCAUUACAUGAACUCACUCUUCAUGUUUUUCCUGGUCUCUCUUGCUACCUGGUCCCAGGCCAGUUGCUAGAGACUUGUGCUCCCACAGUGGGCAUCUGAUAAGUGAGUUCACUUUUCACUGUUGGUGGCUUGCAGAUGUUGUUACUCCUGGAAUUAUUCUAAGGGGACUCCAUGCCUAAUAGAAAAAGCCUCACCUAAAAAGGAACCCAUCUCCAAGGGUAGAUUUUUCUAGCCCUGGGGCAGCUGAGUGUAGAAGAAAUUGUUUUGAGCAGUACUGUUUUUCUAGGGUCACACAAGUUCUGCCUAUUUCACUUGUAACAAUGCUGCCCAUGGGUAUAAGGAUGACAUCCUUUGGAGUUUUAAUGCACAUUUCCUGGGACUUAAAGAUGGGAAUUUUCUAUGGACACAGUACCUCAAAGGGUUUCUUUGUUGGGAUUUUCGAGACCCAAAUGUAAUGAAAGAAUCUUUUCACUACAGAUGAUCCUUGACUUAUGAUGGGGGUUACGUCCUGAUAAGCCCAUUGUAAGUUAAAAAAUGUAAGUAGAAAAUGUGUUUUCAAUUAAGAACCAUCCUAAGUCGGGAACCAUCUGUACUUUUGUGGGUAUUUGGGGUGCAAACGUUGGGGACCAUGUGUUAUGCUGAUAAUGACCAUCUUGCUGAUGUGCCUUGUAGGGUAAGGACUCACCCUGGGAGAGACUGUGAGUUUCCCUGAGGGGUGGACAGUCCACACGUCACCUCUGGGAAGAGGCAGGUCCUCGGAAGUCUGGGGCUUCUGCUCCUCUCUGAGCCUCAGUUCUAUGAGUCUGGACUUCAAGGAGUUUGAGAGAACUUCCAGGGCUGUUUGUUUCUACUCAAUUGAAUUGUUUUUCCUACUUUGUAAGCCAUAACUCCUGGCUCUCUUGGGUUCUAAUGACCCAGGAGACUCUUCAAUGACAUUUGGAUUCUGUUUCCUGGGGAGCUUUCUUCCUUAAUCCUGGGGAUACUCAAAGUGUAAGCCAGCCUGGGAAAAGAUGGAUUGAAAGGAGUUCCGAGGAGGGAGGAUCACGAGUUCAGGAGAUCAAGACCAUCCUGGCUAACAAGGUGAAACCCUGUCUCUACUAAAAAUACAAAAAAAAUUAGCUGGGCGUGGUGGUGGGCACCUGUAGUCCCAGUUACUAGGGAGGCUGAGGCAGGAGAAUGGCGUGAACCUGGGAGGCGGAGCUUGCAGUGAAUCGAGAUGGCGCCACUGCACUCCAGCCUGGGUGACAGAGGGAGAUUCCGUCUCAAAAAAAAAAAAAAAAAAAAAGUUCCUGGGGCUGGGCACAGUGGCUCACGCCUGUAAUCCCAGCACUUUGGGAGGCCAAGGUGAGUGGAUCAUUUGAGGUCAGGAGUUUGAGACCAGCCUGGCCAACAUGGUGAAACCCUACCUCUACUAAAUACAAAAAUUAGCCAGGCAUGGUGGUGAGCACCUGUAGUCCCAGCUACUUGGGAAGCUGAGGUAGGAGAAUCAGUUGAAACCAGGAGGUGGAGGUUGCAGUGAGCCGAGAUUGCGCUACUGCACUCCAGCUUGGGUGACAGUGAGACUCUGUCUCAAAGAAAAAGUUCCCGGGGAUAUAGCUGGUGGGACAACUGCCCAGUGUGUUCAGCCCAGGGACUGCAAUACCAGCUUGCUUCAUCUGGAGUUGUUUCAGGAGACACUUAGCCCCUCUCACUUCCUUCACCUUCGUAAAUGACUUUCCCUGAGCACCUCACGUCAACCUCACUAUUGAGGUGUCCCUACUCUGGCCUUCAGGUCUCUGAAUGGGCACUAUAGACUGGGCAUGAGCUUUCACAAAAUGCUGGCUAAUUUUAUAUAAAUAUCUAUCCUGGGAACCACCUGUUCAGCAGUCUGAUUCUAGAAUCUUCUUCUACUGGAGUCUUCUCAGGAGUGGAUCCCAAUCUUGCAGACCUAGAAGUGGGCAUUUUUUACUCCAAUCCCUGUUUCUGGACUGUUUUGAAUAGAAGCACUACUAGGAUGUGAGUGUAUCCUUUGGUUAGCUCAUCAUAUUCUUUCCCUUCCAAGAAUGCCCCCUCUCCCUAAAAUGAUCUCAGCAGACCCUCAAGGUACCUUUUGGGUCCUUCUCUUCCACAAAACUGCCCCAGGUCUCUCCCUCCCCAGAACUCAAAGCUCUUUUUUCCCCCAGUGACCCUUUUGGCAAUGAAUCACGUGCAUAUUUUGUGACACACUCCAAUAAUCACUUCAUGGUGAGCAUAAUACCCACUUCACUGACUCAGCUUUGCUCAUUUUGAUGUAUGGCAGACAUCUCUGUCUGCGUGAUGAGUCUCUGGAAUAUUAACUCUAUUCUGCACGAUGGCUUUGCUUUGGGCAGAUGUUUUUAUCUAUCACCCGUGUCGAUCUGUUUUCCAUGAGGGAAAUUUGGCUGACCUUCAGAGGAUGGAUUACUGAUCUCCCGGGAGCCAAUGGAAGUGACAUCAUUAACGGAUUUUUUUUUUUUAACAGCAAAAAUGGAAGAUAAUUAAAUGCAGCACAGUAGUUGUAAAACAGAUUUCAUUGUGUUAUACAUCACUUCAUAAAGUAAGCAUAGUUCCCAUUCUUCCACAUGAUGCUUUUUGCAGCAUUGUACCACAGAAUAAUGACUCCCUAAUAACUCAGCUGAAAAAUAUUUAGAUCUACUUGCUCUAAGAAUAAGGUCAACAUUAAACAUUCUCAGAUGAAAAGCUUGCUGGAUGAAAUAGUGCACCAUCAGAAUAAAGCAUGCAAUAUAUUUACAGUCAGAUGAAACAAGUGUGUCCAUAAAUCAACCAAAAGACCAUCUCCUCCUUUAGGAAAUACAUGUAUUGCUUAGCCAGUACCAAUAAGUUAACGUCGUGUGAAUAAUUUUGGGUAUUCUGGCCUUCCUGAAUCUCAUACAGCCAAACCAACCAGAAGGCUUCCCCGCUGGGUUGAUGGUGGCUUAUCAUUUGGCAUCUGGAAACUUCUCUUAUUUUGCUGGAUAUGGCUGUCUAGUGGGUGGCUUACUGACUUGCCUAAGAAAAAAUAAGUCAAUCAUUCAGAUUAAUCUGGGAGGCUAAUUCUAAAAUCGGAUUUUAUGAGAAUUGCUAGAUUUGGGGCUAGGUUAACCUCAUUUCCAAAAGAAAAACUCUUACUGGAGAGAAACCAUCAUGUUGGCUCAUUCUAUUGUGUUUAUAUAUUUCACAGUAAAAUGAUUCAGUCUUGCCAGGUUCCAUAUUAGGAGGAUUAGAACUACAUCACUCAAUAUUUUCUUUUGUCUGUUCUAAAAUAUUUAUCAAGUUAAUUUAUGGACUUAUGGAUUUUUUCCAUUCCAGGACUUCAUUUGCGGGGAGCCUUCAGAAAAAACAGGUCACUUGCAGUAAUAUAGAAGGACUAAACUGUGAUUCUGGAGACCCGGGUUUCUCUUUGCUGUUCAACCAGUGUAGUCUUUUGUGUGUGCUGUUAACAGUGAUUUCUGGCUCAGUGAAAUGUGAUAAUGACUUCAUAUUUGUGAAGAGCUAAGUAUCCUGAUAUUUUGAUCUUUUCAAGCAGAUAAUUUCAGGCAGAAAUGAUAUAGCUUGUCUUUUGUUAGGUCUCACUAGGGGAAAAAAAUCGCUCACAAGAGCCUUGCCUACCUCAACAAGAAGUGUCUCUACUUAUACAAAUGGCAUGGUUUCUUUUCUGGUUACUGGGUCACAGGUGGCUCGCCAUUUGCUUUGAGUUUGCAAAUAAAGUACAUCUUGGGUUUCCUUAUCUUUAAACAAGUAAAGAUAAAUUAGGUUAAAGUGGGAGAAGGUUCACAGGAUGAGAACAUCAAUUCAGCUCACAGCAGGUAUGGGUCUAAAGUGCCUCUCUGCAGGAAAGAAAGCCACCACCAGCAGUCCACCUGCUCUCAGGGGAAGGGACCAGGCAUUGGAAAGGCUGCCUCGGGAGAAGUGACUCAACAAAAUCAUAAGCCGCAUGUAGCUUUGUUUCCUCUUUCUAAUACGGGCAUAUUUAUUGCCAUCUCAAUUAUACCUAAUUCAAUUAAUGGAAGAAAAUGUACAUGAAAGAACUCCCAGAAACUAAAAUGGCUAACUGUAGGCAGGAUGUGUGAUUAAUAUUUAGAAUCUAUCAAACCCAGUACUGGCAGGGCUGUUCUCUCCCCAGUACUUACCAGAGAGGGAGUAGAGCUAAUGCACAGCCAUACUCCUCCCCUUUUCAUGAAAUAGUUUCAUCUUUACCUUGAGGUCACGCUACAGAUGAAGAGUAAAAUGAAAGACUGAAUAUGAUCAAUACUAAUUAAAAUGGGGGGGAGGUAUUGAAAAGAGUCUAAAAUUGGCUACAAAUAAUGAGAUACAUUGGACUCUUCGUCAUUAACAAGAUUUAGAAUAGGCUGGGAAAUUUCUCUUUGGAACUGUGAACUGUGACGGGUGUGGUCCAACAGAAAAAACACUGGAGAGUCAUGGAUAACGAAAUACAACUGAGAAGUUACGGAAAGCACACAAUGCCCUAGGGCAAGCUUGUCCAACCUGUGGCCCGCAUGAAGUCCAACACAAAUUUUUAAACUUUCUUAAAACAGUCUGAGAUUUUUUUUUUUUUUUUUUUUUGCAAUUUUCUAUUUUUAUUUUUUUAAGCUCAUCAACUAUGGUUAGUGUUAGUGUGUUUUACAUGUGGCCCAAGAAAAUUCUUCCAAUGCGGUCCAGGGAAGCUAAAAUAUUGGACACCCCUGCCUAGGGGAACUUGUUUCGUCUACUUGGUUAGUUGUCCUAAUUGCAUUUUACCUGCAGUCCAAAGGUUAUUUUAGAUGAUAGAACUGCAAGAACCCCAAACCCAAAGAAAGAAUCGUUGAAGUGGUUGGGAGAGGAGGUCAUUUCUGAGAUACAUUUCCAGGAGAAAUACAAGUUUGAGAGAAGGAGCUGGUAGUUACUGUGUGCAAGUGUUUUUCUUUGAUGGGGAAGGAGUAGUUGGCAAAGGGACAGGAAUCUGUGUGUACAUUUCCUGCUCCUGUUUCCUUAACCACCAUCCUCAGGGCAUCUCUGGCACCUUGGGGUCGGGUAAGUGCUCUCUACUGCCCUCGUUUUAGCUGCCUUUAUCUCGUCUAUAUGGCACUUUCUGCGUGAAAAGACAUUUGCCUUACAGGGAUGAAACUGGACUUGCAAGAGUUUGCUGUAGAAGGUGUUCAAGUCAGGAAGAUGCUCAGAAAUGACCACUGAGAGGGUGGCAUCAGUGCUGACUUAAAAAAAAAAAAAAAAAUCUGACCUCACAUGUUCAUUUUUCCAAAAGUAGAGAGGCUCAGUUUCUAGCCUCUCAAACCAUAAGGAAGUAAUCAAAAUGAGAGUAGAUGGAAAUCAUCUCUUACCUUAAGGGCUCAUGUACAUUUCAGAGAAGCAAUUUCUCUAGCUAUACUUAUUCUCUUAUGGUCUUGUUUAUUACUAUAAACAAGCAAGUUCACUUUAUCAUUUACUUUUUAUUGUGUUGCUUGAAGUACCUAUGUAAUGCAAGUAUGUACUGUACUAAAAUACCUAUAUUUCCAAAUAACAUAUGUGGUGUAGCCCACAGUCUCUGCAGAAGCAUCAUGAGUAACCUGUGCCUUUACACUUUACAAUCCGUUAUUGGUUGCUGUUAAAAGUAUGAUAACAGAUGAAGAAAAAAAAACUAAGUAUGAAUACACUUUUCCAAACACGCACAUACACAGCUUACAAUGGAAUCCCAAUGGAAAUAAGUGACAACAUCUGAUGUAGAAUCUAUAAAAUGUAGACUCUGCAAUAAAAAGCCAAAGGCACGUAAAAAUAUAUUUUAACUUUAAAAAUAACUUAGUUACAGUAAUACUUUGCCUGUGUCUUACCAACAUGUAGCUGACAGUCAAAAUUUUGCAAUAUAGAUAUAAUAUAUAGGGAUAUAUAAGAACUACAAGAAAAUCCCCAAAACCCAUAAAGUUCAAAUGUGAAAACAGAAAAGUUUUAACACUGGAGAAUUCGCUAUGGUGAGCCUAAGCAAUAUAUAGAAAAGAGUCUACAAAAAGGCUUAGGUGUUAAAUAAAUUUUGACUUCCUCUUGCUCAGAAAAUGUCGGAGUGCUAUAAAGUUCCGUGAAGUUCCUUAAUGUGACUCGCUCAGCCCUUCAUAGCUAGUGCCAAUCCUGGCCAAGCCAGAUUUCUUGUGUGUCUGCAAACAAUAUGUGAGCCGAACAUCACCAAUGCCUCCUGAAAAUGGGCUCUGACUCACUUCCUUUUUUUGCCAAGAUAGGUUUUGCUUUGUUGUUUUUUUCUAAAUUGUUUUUGCAAACAGGGCAUAACAGGUAAAAAAAUACUUUGUAAGAAUAUUAUUUUAGAAAACCCAACACAAAACUGCAAAUACAGCUCCGGAAGCCCUUCUCUUCAACUGUGGUUAGUUUGUUUUUGUACCUUUUACCCCAAAGGAAAAAAGUUGGCAUCUUGUUACUUAUUUUUAUCCAUUACAUUCAGCACCUCAUCCAAAAGUGAGGGCCCAAGAUCAAGCUGCAGGGAGAGGAGGGAACCUGUAAGGUCAGAGAGGGACUCCUCUGACUUAGUCUUUCCCUUGAUGAGCUCGCAUGGGGUGGGAUGGUCAAACAUGUCCUCGGCUGGCCAGUCGGGGUACUGUUCGGACAGGCUGGAGGAGUGGCUGUCUCUGCCUUGGCUGGACUGAGAUGCAGAACCGCUGGAGCCCCACGAGGUGUCUCCCUGGUGGACUGUCCCAUUCUCCAACAGACUGCUUUUCUCCUGAGCUUUUUCCUCCAUGACGGGCUCGCAGCUAAGCCUGGGCAGCUUUGCUGGCCCGAAGGACUCCUGUUUGGAAUUAAAUGUCACUGGUGACAAUAAGGGCAACAUGAGAGCUUGGGAUCCUCCAAUGGUCGGGAGGGAGAUGGCAUUUUUGAGCACCGGGGAGGGCGUUUCUGUGAACACAGAGUCCGAGGUGCUGUUGGCCCGGAAGAACUCAUUAUGCCCAGGGAACUGGCCCAGGUGUGCUUUCUCCUGGUUUCCAGGUAAAAGCUCGUAGUUCCCUUGAAGAAAGGAAAUAUCUCCAAAGACAUCGUGCUGGCCCUCUUUGCCAAUGUGGAUGGUGUGGCGAAAGUCUCCAAGCGGGGGACUGAUCAUAUCAGGAGACAGAAUGUCCCUCAGUUUAAAUUUCUUUCCUUUCUUGUUAUUGGCUGCUUUCAGGUAAAUUGGGGUCUUGGCUGGCAUUUUGGAAUUUGAGAAUGUCUAUUUUGCAAGCGGGAGAAAGGGCCACUUUCUUCACAGAUGGUAUAUGUUUCUGAAUCCUUUUUGAUAGGAACUGUCACAUCAUUUUUCUCAAGUGGCUUCAGAAGUGGCUUCGAAAUGAGAUGGGGUCAAAGAGAACCUUCCUGAGGUUACGGCCAAGUGAGGCUUCCUAGAGAGCCAGUUACAUCAUCCAGUCUUGACCACAACCAGGACAAACCUGCAGAAGAAACCAAAGCAGGUUAUAAGCUAAAGACCCUUUUGGGUGCCCUAGGGCCUCCCUUUUCACAAGAGCCUGUAAAUAAUGGCAGGGCCAGUUUCAACUAAUGCUGAACUUAUUGUUUCCCUCCAGUAAGUGGAUAAAAAUUUUCAUCUUAGAGAAAACAGGAAAGAGAAAGACCUAAAAACCCCAUAUCUAUGACACCAGUACUUUUUAGACAUAGCCAUGGGCACAUCUUCUGGACAUGUCUAUGGUUUUAGUCAUUUUCCUCUAAGAAUUGCUGUAAGCAUAGGAUCAGUGAUUUCAGCUCCUUAAAUACAACUGGAUUUGUUUUAAAAUACAUUUUCCUUUUGCUUUGAUGUGCAUACUAGCAACACUAAUAUUUCAUUGUUGAGUUCCAUAUGUACAUAAGUUAAUGCAAUAAAAUGAACAGUCCUAAAGGAAAGGUGCUGGAAUUAUUUAAUAAGUGACAAUAACUAUUAUAUGCUACUGUCCUAAAAAUGUUAGUGGAAUACAUUCUUACAGAUAAGAAAACGGAGAUUCAGGAUAAGCCCUUCCCCUAGAAAGUUACCUUUUCUCAAUAACAUAUAGCCAGUAAAUAAGAGAGCUAGAGUUGUAAUCAGGUUGUGGCAAAGUAUUGGGCUGUCGAGGAUGUCAGGAUUUGAAGUCAUUCUGAGAUGGGAGGAAAUGAACAAAACUGCUUCACUUCAAAGAGAAAACAUUGUGAAUCUCUAUUACAGGCUGGGCCUUCACUUGGGAACACUUCUGAAACAUUACUGAUAAGGCUAUAUCCUCCAUGCAGUAGGCAGAAUUCGAAGGGAGCCCCCAUGAUCUGCCUCCUGGUGUUAAUGCCUUUGUGAGUAGAACCUGUGACUGGCUUCUAAACAAGGGAAUGUGGCAAAGGCAAUAGGUCCCUGAUUAGGUUACAUUAUAGGAGAUUUCAUCUGAGCUGACAAGGGAGAAGACUCCCUGACUCCCUUUGCUGGCUGUGGAGAGGUGAGCAGUUACACUGUGCAAGGGCCUAUGGAAAUGAAAUCUGCCAACAAUGUUGGGGAGCUUGGAAGUAGAUCUUUUCCCCAGUUGAGCCUCUGAUGAGACCACCACCCUGACCCACACUGAAUCAUAACUCAGGGAGAUGCUGGAACUCAGCCCUGCCCAGAUUCCUGACCCACAGAACCUGUGAAAUGGUAAAUGUUGUAAGCCCUCAAGUUUGUGGUCGUUUGUUACCAGUGUAGAAAGCAACACAUCCUCCCUGCACAUACUAUAUGAUAAGAUUAGGAGGGAUGAGCUACAAGGCAUUGGGGUUGUAAUGUGCUCUUUUGCCAAUGAGAUGCUCUUAUCUCUUGAAAAUAAUCCUCCACCUCUGAUGCUGACACAGAGAAGCUAAACCCUUUCCCACUGCAGGAACUUCCCAAAUGGCUCUGCCAUGACCUCUUCCCUCAGGCGCUCCUCCCACUGGCUGCAGAGCCUGCAAAUAAAUACUCCAAGGGCUGGGUGGGUUAGUUGGUGUUUUGAAGGGAGCCACAUUUGCUUGUAGCAGCUGGAGGCUGUCUGCAUCUGCCCCAUAUUUCUUUCCUUUCAGCAAGAGUUUUAAAUUCAUUUACCAGUGGCAGGUGACAAGAACUGUGCUCCACCACCCACUGGCUCAGUAACAGCUAACUCAAUUUGGGAAGCAGCUAGCUCAGCGUGUCAGCAUGCUGGCCAGCAACCCAGGCCGGAGAAGGCUGAGAACAAUGCACUAGAGAGAGCCAGCCCCACUCGGGCUUUGGGUAUGGGGAGGAGGCAGAGAAAGUACGAGGAGGUUUGCAUUCAUGCAGAGUGGGCUGACCAUGGGGCUGCCAGCAAUGACAUGAUCGUGGGUCCUGACACUCGUUCUCAUAGUUUUAGCUCUAAUUUGGGUCUUGUUGUGGUAACAAAAGUUGAAGCCCAUGUUCUUCCUGUUAAAACAUCAGAACUUCCUUCCUGUAUGAGUGUACAAUGCCUAGUCCUGGCCUCGGGCCCCCUGCUGUUCAGAGGUGGCCUCCCUGCCCUUUGGGCACAGUGUGGCUGACUGCCUGCAGGAGCAGCUGGGUGGCCUGAGGAACAGCUGCCCACAGGAGUGGUGUCCUCAGCACACACGGCCAGGAAGGCAGCUGCCAUGGAAAGAUACAGCGUGUCCACCACAACUCAAGGGCAUGCCAGGGCUGCCUGGGGUCAGCUGAUGGAGGCAGGGUUAUGCAAGGCCAGGUCCCAGGGCAGGGGGUUCCAAUUAUUUAAAAAAAAAAAAAAAAAUCGAUCACUUAAGGCCUGGAGUUUGAGGUCAGCCUGGGCAACAUAGCAAGACCCUGUCUCUAUGAAAAAAAAAUUAGCUGGGCAUGGGGGCACCCGCCGGUAGUCCCAGCUACUCAGGAGGCUGAAGCAGGAGGACUGACUGAGUCCAGGAGUUUGAAACCAGCCUGGGCAACAUAAUGGGACCUCAUCUCUACAAAAACUUUCUUAAAAAAUUAGCUGAGAAUGGUAGCACACACCUGCAGUCUUAGCUACUUGGGAGGCUGAGGUGGGAGGACUGGUUGAGCCCAGGAAUUCAAGGCUGCGGAGAGCUAUGAUUGUACCACUGCACUACAGCCUAGCAAGGCCUUGUCUCAAAAAAAAAAAAAAAAAAAAAAAAAAAAAAAAAAAAAUCCCAUGAAAAUGUAGCCAGAGAGCAGUUCCCUGCCACUCUGACUGGAUCAUUCACAUACACCCUUGAAUUAAACAAGGAUUUGGGACAGUGAGGAGGAAGAGCAAAGGGGGAGAAAGUGUGUGCUGCUGAGGGUGCAGGGGAGGGAGGGCCCAGUCGGUAGGCUGGUGGGGGCUGGGCACCCACCAGGGAGCAAGAUGCUCGUCAAGCCCCAGCCUUUGGUCAGUCCUUGCCCAGCCACAGGCACCAGCACCAGGGGCCUCCAACCAGAGGCUCACUCAUCCUGCUUGAAGUGGGGCUUCAUGUCGGUGGCAUGGAGGCAAAGGUUGGAGGGAAGCAGCAAAGAAAAAGGCAAGAAAAGGGUUGGUGGGGAGGCUACCUAAGCUGUAGUGAGAUUCUGGUGAGUAGGAGAUACUGGAGAAGAUACCUUCAGAGGCAUUUUGCUUUCUUUCUACAAAUAUUUACAUCAUAUUUACUGCAUGAUGGGGCAUAGGCUUCUAGGACUAUAGAAAAAAAUAAUUUGAAUUGAAUCUGAAUUGCCAAUCCUAACAGCUCCCAAAUACCCUGAAAGUUAAGAAUUUUGGGCAAAAUGUCAGUUUUACAACUCUAGGUAAGUUGACGUUUGUGCUGCUGGGAAAGUAUCUGGCAGCUCUGAUCUAGUCCUUCUAUUGCAUCUGUUCUCUUCCUCCCCAGCUCAGGGGCAACCAUGAUUGAUCCCAGGAGAGUCAAUCCAACGCUGAUAAUCCAAUGCCCAUAAUUUCUCGAACUGACCACUUCCUUCUCUCUCCUUUCUGAACAUUCUGGGCUAAGUCCAUGCAGCUUGAUCAGUUUCCCCUUCUGCUUCCUGGGCUCACUGCUCUUUCAAAAUCUUUGCCAAUUACUUACUUAGGCAGAAACCUAAUGGGAUAGUUUCUUCCCUAGCAAGAAGUGGCUGCUCCUGGAGAGGGUAUGAGCAUCUCCUGGGUACCAGCAGCACUUGAUACAAGUCGGUAUUUGUUGAGGGCUUCUCUAUGUACCGAGCAUUGUUCCAACCCUUGACAUGGACUAGCUGAGGAAGCCAUGAGGCUGUUACUGUGACUAUCCUCAUUUUACAAAUGGAUCACUACUGACGAACUGAUAUCCAGCCACUCUGCCAAGGCUGCAUGGCUACCAAGCACGAAGCCACAUGGCUGGGCUCUGAGCUUUGAGGUCUUGACAUGAUAUUUAAUGAGCACCCUCCCUGGGAAUUCUGUCUGCUCCCUAAUUAUGAAAGGGGUGCAUUCCAAAGCCUGUUUAAAACACAAAUGUGUGGCAAUGUGCUGGGCUGAUGAGGAUGGGAAACAGGCCCUGCAUACACUGACAGUUGAAGUAUGAACAGGUCCAAACUCAGUAGAGGCAGUGGGGCAAUAUCUAUCAAAACUGCAAAUCAUAUGCCCUCUGACCUCAGAUUGCACUUAUAGGGAUUUACCCAACUCACAGAGAAAUAACAAGGCUGUUCAAACCAGCACAGUUUAUAACAGUCAAGAGUUGGAAACAACCUAAUUGUCCACCUAUGGAGGACUGGUUCAGUUAAGCGUAUCCUUCCAAAUAAAUACUACUCAGAUCUAACAAAGGAUGAAGAAGUGCUUAAUAUGCUCAUCCGAGAAGAGCCCAAAGAUGUACAUCAUCAAAGGAAAAAAAAAGAGGUGCAAAUGCGUGUAUUUAUAUUUGUACUGGCUUAUCUAUAGAGUAUUUCUGGAAACACACAAGUAAUAAUAGUGACUGUCCACAGAGAGGGGAAGUAGAUGGAAGGGGAACAGGGUGGCAAAGAAAUUUCACUAUCCUUUUAUGAUUUUGGAUUUUCAAAUCAUGUUAAUGAACUGGCUAUUUUUUUUUAAAUCACAAAUAUAUAAAUGUGUAUGCAGGGCUCAGAUUAGGCUUUCCUGGAGAGCCAAUUUUAUACAUGGCUGUUAGGUCCUGAAAAGCCUACUAUGAGUUACUGAUCAUAACACAAACAUCAGGAAAAUGUGUCUAAAAGCAGCAUCUGCAAUGGCAGUGUGUGGGUAUAUGAAGACUUCACAAAAGGCCUGAGCCACGUCUCCCCUGACCCUGGCUAUGGGACAGAUCACUUUUUGCUUCUGUGAUCAGGCCUUCACCAAAGAGGCAGCAUGGAUCUGUACUUUGUAAAAGGGAAGAGAUCUCAGAAGAGAAACAUUUGUAGUCGGAAAGGAAAGUGAGAAAAUUCAACAGGUGGGAGAGGAUGCAGGAGGAGCUGCUGGCCAGGGCAUGAGCGAGGAGGGAAGUGCAGGCAGGUGGAAUCGCCUGGGCCCGUGAGGACAGCAACUUGUGCAAGGGUGACUAGUGACACACACAGAUAACCUUUGAUGAUGGAAUGGGCCUAUAUGCCAUGACUUGAAAUCCCAUCCCUCCUCAUCAUUUUAAGAAGACACCUGGGGCCGGGCAUGGUGGCUCAAGCCUGUAAUCCCAGCACUUUGGGAGGCCGAGGCGGGCAGAUCACAAGAUCAGGAGAUAAAGACCAUCCUGGCUAACACGGUGAAACCCCGUCUCUACUAAAAAUACAAAAAAUUAGCCGGGCCUGGUGGCAGGCGCCUGUAGUCCCAGCUACUUGGGAGGCUGAGGCAGGAGAAUGGCAUGAACCCGGGAGGCGGAGCUUGCAGUGAGCCAAGAUCGUGCCACUGCACUCCAGCCUGGGUGACAGAGCAAGACUCCCUCUCAAAAAAAAAAAAAAAAAAAAAAAAAAAGAAAAUAGAAGACACCUGGGUUCCAGGAGACUGCUGGUGAAUGACCAACACAUCAGAACAGUCAGCAUGAGUCAGGGGAACCCCAGGGCUUUGCGUUCUGCCCAGAAGGAAGAAGGAUCUGCUUGGAGGAAGGGAUGCUGGGAAAAGAGAAAAGGAGGAGCUAAACAGGAAAGGCUUACAGGCCGGAAGCGAAUUACCAGACUACAACUAGGGAGCGGGCCCUCCUGGGUGUUCCACAACCCAGAUGAGAGAAUUUUAGCUUUCUGUCUCAGUCAAAACUCUCAACACCAGCAUUAACCUGUGGGCACUGAGCCAUCUGAGGGUGCUGAGCACAUUCACUCGUGUCUGUCCUUUCCUCAUCUUGAACCCCUUUCCUGCAACCAAGGGUCAAGUCAUGUGGUCACCCAGGCUGGAGUGCAGUGGCAUGAUCACAGCUCACUGCAGCAUCGAAACCCUGGGCUCAAGCCAUCCUCCUGCCCCAGCAUCCUGAGUAGCUGAGACUACAGGUGCACAACACCAUUCCCAGCUAAUUAAAAACAAUUUUUUUUUUUUUUAGAACAAGGGGUCUUGCCAUGUUGCCCAGGCUGGUCUUGAACUCCUGGCCUCAAGUGAUCCUCCUGCCUCAGCUUCCCGAGCAGCUAGGCUUACAGAUGAGCCUCACCAUGCCUGGCUCUCUAGUUUUCUUGCAUUUCUCUACUCCCACUAUCUUACCUAAAUCUUAAAAGACAGACAAAGGUUCUUAUAGUUAGCCCUUUCUCAAAAACCUUGACCCUGAAAUUUGAACUUCCCACAAUUAUUCCUGGUUUCUUUCUAGUUCCACAAACUUUCUCCUAGUUCUUGGAUCAUGGUUUGUUCCUCUUUCCCUUCAUAGAUAACACUGGAGAUAACAUUCAUCUCAGAAGUUAGAUUCCUUUAAAAACAAAUGCUCUAGUUCCUGGGGCACUAGAGAGAAAAGAUUUGCCAACAAAAGGGUCCAGCUUGCCAGUCAGUCAUGUGGCAGGUCAGAGAGAACACAUGUGGCAGGCAGACAGGUGGGCACAGUGCUGCUGAGAACGGACAUGCUCCCUUACAGGUUGUGUGAGAAAUCCAAGAGUUUCAAUACACAAAAGGACCGGAGAGGAAGCUACGGCCCUGGUUUUUAUAAGGAAGGAAGAGAGCCGGGUUGCACUAGGCUAGACAAUUCUAGUUUCUUGUGACUGACUGAAGCGUAAAUGACAGUGAUAAUGAUAGAAAUAAUCACAGCAGUAAUAAAUAAUUUGGUUAAGAAAAAAACUGAAGCGGUGCUUUGCUUCAUUUCUUACCAUCUUUUUGGCAAACAGAAUGAUGCUGAAAAUAUCAAAACAGGGCAGCAGCCAGGAGGAAGGGAAAAUCAAGCGGUUUUAAAAAAUGACAGACAGAAAAAUCAGCUCCUAAGUUACUUAGAGUUGAUGCACUGGCAACUUACAGGACUCUGAAAAGAACCAAGGAGUUGGGAUAUUUUUAAAAUUCCAUUUAUUUUAAAGGAAUGUUUGGUUUGCCUACUAAUUGUUUUUAGAUUAAUUCUUAGUGGAGAGAAAAAGUAAAAAAAAAAAAAAAUUGCAUCCUGCAAAACAGGUUGCAGUGUUAAUUUAAAACACACAUGUAUAAAAAUGGGCAGGUGGGUUGAGGGGUGCUACUGCCCCCAGGGACCUGCGGCUCUGUUCUUUUCUCCUCCUUGCAGGAAGUGAGCCUGCAUCCGACUUCCCCUUUCUGGCUCGGUUGUCACAUCCUUCAGGGACAUUCCAGCUUCUGAUCACUUUUCGCUUUGCCUCAGCACAGUCGCACUAUGCGGCCAGUCACGGCACCACUGCACUACUGCACCAUCUGAGCCCCAUGCCAGAGUAUCCAGCGACUCCUCCUGCAUGUUGGAACCAACAGUCCUAGGGGAGGAUGAUGACUCGGCCAAGUACCCUCCGCCGCCUCCCUACCCCCAACCAUCUGUGGGCUAUGUCUCUCUGCUGCCAACCAGAAGAUAAUAAUUCCACUGUGCCAAGCGCCCAGAACAUGAUCCUAGGCUCCACAUUUAGAAGGGAUAAAGGCUACCUGGAACAUGUCCCCGCAUGUUCAGAGGGAGGCAAAUGGGAGGAAGUGAAGGAGCUCGAUUAGGACAUGUGAGAAGAGGCUGAAGGAAUAGAGCAGCUUAAAGAGAACUCAUAGAAAGAGAAAACUAAUCUUAAGGGAUCUGAAGGAUUCAUUUAAUUGUAAUGAAAAGGAAUUAACUUGUUCUGGGAGGCCCUAGAGCUACCAAGCAGAAACUACAAGGAAAGAUUUUGGCUCCUCCAAGUAACAGCUCAGGUUUCUCAAAAGAUGGAAUGGGCUGGGGUGGGGAGGGGACAGCAAGUAUGGCCAUGGGAUGAAGCUCUCACAGAGGGGAGGGCGGUUACCCUGCGCCUCCCUGACAGUGCGUGAAGGGAGGUGUUCACGUUCCCAUUUAUUCUGAGUUUCCUGUAUGGGAACACGAUCACUGCCAAUUUCCUUGUAGUCCCAUGUCACUUUUCCAUAGAAAAACGCACACGGACUUUCCCUUGAAGAAGCUUUCUCUUUGAACACGGCAGUCUUCUUACUAAUAUAGAAAUGACCAGCCAAUCUUUGGGAUCAGAAACACUAAAAUAUUACUACAAUGUGGACGCUCAUGUCAAUCCUUUUACAAACCUCUGUAGGAGUGCUUCUCUGAAUAAUUUUAAAAUUGAAGGGGAAAAAAACCCCAUAGUGUUAGAUUUUCAUUUAAGUUCAAUGCUGAAUUUCUAAGGCGGAAAUCAGUGUAACCAGAAGCACCCAGUAACCCGAAGGGGAUGCUUUUCAUAUUUUCAGUCUGUUUAACUCCACCCAUUUGAGAAGAUAAGAAGAUGCCUUUUCUAUUUUUAGAUUCUUACCCUCUCCCCAUAUCAUCUAAACUGAGGACAUAGCUCUAAGCUUCAAGACUAUGAAACUCUAUUAGCUGGCUCCCCAGCUGCUGAGCUCUGUUAUGCAAAUGAACUUAGCCAGAACGAGCAGGCGGUAUUUUAAAGACCCAUUCAAAGUCUGAUACAUCUCACCUUCCAUUAUUUUAAAGGACUUUCAUUUGUGAUUCAGCUACAGCUUGAAUUUAUUGUUCUUUUACAACCCUGAUUAUAUACAGACCCACAAAUACCAUAUGUGAGACUCAGUGCUAAUUUGUGUACACGUCUCAUUUUUAUGGGAUCUAAUUUGAAAGAUCUCUUAGAAGCAAAAUUGGAAGACAGAAGGUCCACCUCACAUAGCACCAAGUCUGCACUUUUGAACAGAGGCCAUUAGGACCUUUUUUCCUAUAAAAAUGAGUUACUGGGGAAGACUCAAUGUGGACAUAGAACUCUGGCAGUUACAACAAGGCAGGAGGAGGGCAAGUCCUCUCAUGCCUGGUUCAUUUAUCAGGACGUGUUGUACAUGGCACCAGGGCUGGUCAGAAGCACCCAGGCAGGCACUCUAGUUUCAUGGAUGUGAAUCUCUGAUAAGGCCAUUGCUGUGAACUGCUCACGUGUUUCCAUAACUAAUGGAUCUGACUUGGUCUGUGAUGCUGCAAGGACAAUAUCAAUACAGGAAGAGAACUUGACUCUGAAGUUUUCAGCAGUAUUCAGCCAGGAUAUUCAUUCUAAUCUCUGCUCAAAAGCAAGGAACUUGCUCUCAGUUGCUCACAAAAUAUUAAUAUUUAAGUCAGCAAUUAUUCUAUGCAGUACUCCAGUUCUGGUAAUGGUAAUUUCAAAUGAUCCCAAAUAAUAAGCUGACACUGUCCAGAAAUUCAGAUUAUGGUCAUUUAACCCAUACUACCUUGGAGGGCAAAGUUCCUAGCCAUUUGCCUUUAGGCCACAUUCUCAAGUUCUCUGAUGGGGUAAAGGGACAAAUACAGGACUUCCAUGCUAUUCUGCCACCCUGCUAGGGCUGUCUACAAUAAUCCACGUUCCUUGGAUGGGCUGAAACAUGGCUUUUCUGUAUGAUACCAGCACUGGCUAUAUGUGGAAUCUGGUAGUCGUCAUUCUACUCUCAAUCUACUUCCACUACCAACAUCCUUGCGUUAUUUGUAUAUGUGUUACUACAAAUAUAUUUGUUGAAUGAUUUCCCUCUAACUAGGCUGAAAGCUCUUCUGUGGGCAUGAGCUUAUUCAUCUUUUGCCUCCCACAACACAUGGCCCACAGUGAACUUCAAAUUCACAAGUGUUAAAUCCAUAACCCCUGCUAGACUUUCCAUCAUGAGAGCCAGGUUGACUUGCUCCCGGGGGCCAAACCCUAGAGCAAGUCUACAGAGGCUCUCUGGAAAGUGACAAAUCUGAAAUGCUUUGUUCUCUAAAUAAUUUACACCUGUGAAGAGUACUAGCUAGCAUGAGUGCUUUCUGUGGGCCAGGCAGGCAUGUAAUGCUCAGAGCAUACCUCUUAGGAAGCAGUCUUAGAUGAAGCCUGUGUCUCCAGUCAAUCACCCAAAAUGUGGAGGAGCUAGGAUUCCAGCCAUAGCUGCAUUCUGUAGCCACUGCCGAUUUGAUAACUCAAGGACUGCCAACCUGAAGACUAUGUAUCUUGAAGUCUGACAGCACCAAGAGGAAAUGACACACCAAGAGCGCAACACGGAUGAGAGGUGGAGAUGCUAACCUGACCUUGUCAGAAGCCAAAAAUGAGAAGAAGGGUCCUAGACACUGGUCCCUCCAUCUCUAACUCACUAGGACUUUUCAGUAUUUUUGCUAUUGUCAACAAGAAUCUCAAAAGGAAUUUGACUUGUGGUAAACGUCAAAAGAUUUGAAUUGUAAAGUAACAAAGCCCCCCCCCCACCCCCCGCCCCCCGCCAUCCUCGAGGAGAAAAACAAACAUCCUGUUCUUAGAAAAUCGUGUUAAGUGCUGUUCAUUCUUUUCCCAGAGGAAGCCCAUUGCAUGCGACAGUGAACAAUCACAGGCUUUCACUGGGGACAAUAGCUCCCUAGCUUCCUAACUGACACUUCAUUUCCCUCCUAACCUGAAACUAAGAACCUUGUGUUCCCUACAUGGAAAGCUCUCCCACCUUCUUACCAUCAGCCUCUAUUCACAACAUCCUCUGAGACCUGCUCCAGAUGCACUUCCUUCCUGGAGGAAGUCUACUCGAAUGCACCUCACGUAAUCCAACCUUGCUACUGCUUUGCUUAGGGGUUUUCUUAGGGGUUGUGGAGGGCUUGUAUUAUGUGAUUUGUUGUUUUCCUGUUUUGUGGUUUUAAUGCCUGAUAUUUCCAGGUGGCUGGUGAGCUCAAAAAGAAUAAAGUAAGCAAAAGGGCUAUACAUGAGUGUUCCUGUUGGGAAAACUCUCCUCCUUUUUAUGCUGAAUCACUUACAGAGCCUCCUCUUGAGCUGGGGACACAGAAGGCCCUCAAAUCUUACUGAAUAAGCUCUUCUAGUUUUCUUUCUGACCAUCCCUUAAGUCAAGGGUCUACAAGCUACAGGCCGGCCAAAUCCGGCCCCCUGCCUGUUUUUAUAGAUAAAGUUUUAUUAGAACACACCUAUGCCUAUUCAUUUAUGUACUGUCUACAGCUCAGUGGGGUUCUCAACUGAGGGUGAUAUUUGUUCCCUAUGCGAUAUUUGGCAAUGUCUGGGAAUAUUGUGGGUUUUCGUGACUGGGGGUGGUGUGCUCCUGGCAUCUAGUGGGUAGAAGCCAGGAAUGCUGCUAAACAUCCUACAGUGUACAGGACAACUCCCCAAAGCAAAGAAUUAUCUGGCCUCAAAUCUCAGUAGUGCUGAAGUUGAGAAAUCCCAGUAAAGGUGCUUUUGCUCUAUCAGGUCAGAGUUGAGUAGCCUGUGACAGAGACUGUAUGUUGCUCUCAAAGCCCAAAGUAUUAACUGAGCCCUUACAGAAGAAGUCUGAACCCCUGUCUUAAAUGUUGGCAUUUUCAUAGGGUUGGAUGGCUGCUGCCCAUCCCCCACUCCUCAACAAUUCCCCCGGCAAUCACAUACCACCUCUAGGGAUAACUUCCAAGUCAGUACCUUCAACCCACAUGCAUCUACUUAAGUCCAGACCAGUGCUACUCAAAGUGGGUUCAUACAGUCCAUGAUGAGAUAAGAACAGAAGUUGGAAGCAAGAUCUUUUUGACAUUGCCUUAACAUCAAGCAUGUGACCAACAGAUUUUUUUCUUACUGAAUAGGCUAUUGACAAGUUUGGGAGCUGUAUGCUGUUGAGCUUGCAUGGCGGUUGUGUGUGGCCCAAGCUCCAUAUUCCUUGUGCACAGUAGUAUUGUACAAUGGAUUGGAAAUGGAAACAAACAAAAAGACAGUGGCCCUUCCCAGAGAGUUUGAAAAGCAUUGAUUGGCCUUUCCCUUCCCUUAUAUUCCAGACUUCUCUACUUUGCUUCCCUUGUCCCAUAUAAUACUCAUAAACCUUGCCCCAAAUGGGAUUUGCCAUCUUUCUUCCCCCUGCCUGCCUUAGGCAUCUGCCUUCCAAACUAUGCUUUCCUGGUAAAUGGCAGAAGUCACUCAAUUCCAAAACCCAGCUAUCAUCCCAGCACUUCUCCCCGCCUCCAUCUCUACAUCAAGUCCUAUAGUCCUAUCAGUCUGUCUGGACUGUCUCUCCUCAUUCAUCCCUGCUCCAUCAGCCUUACUCCUGGCCCCCAUGAUCUUUCUCCUGCACAAGGACAUUUGCCUUUCACCUACCUCCCUGCCUCCCCGGUCCUUCCACCUUAUCUUCCAAUCUACACCAGAGUGAGGUACCUAGAAUCCUCAUGUAACCUUAUCACUCUCUGCUUUAAAACCUUUCAAGGGUUUUAAGGCUACAGCUUGGAGAUAAGAUAAAAUAGCUUGUGAAGCCCACUUCAGCAAUCUGGGGGGCCUGCCACACUUGCAACUGAAUCUCCUGCCAGUUCCCCAUGGCAUCCUAAGCUCCCAUAGCGUCCUGUGUACACCUCAAACCUAGCAACUAUCACACUGGAUUAUUACCACUACUUAUUUAACUCUUCCCCAAUCAGGCUAUAAUCUGGGAGAGAGAACGGAGAUCUUAUUCAUAGCAGGUAUUGAAAAAAAUGUUGAAUGGAUAAACAAAUGAGAAAGCUUGAAAGACAUUGCUGUGCCUCUUCCUCUUUAACCCUGCCUGCUCUAUUGAAAAUGCAAGAUGGAAUCUAUGAUUCUUACAGAAGAAAACAAACAUGUAACAAGAAGCUGUCUCCUCUUUUCUUGUGGCAAAGGCUUUCAUUUUUCCAUCUGUAAGCCAUUUUAACCUUCCCCUAUCCAUGCAGGGUAAUAAUUUAACAGUGUAUCAAUGCAAGCCAGAGUAAUUCUACAGGACCAUACAGAUCUUUGGCAAAUAUACAGAUAAAAAAUAUAGAUCUUAAGGCAAAUAUUUGUGGACAUGCUGUUUGAAAGAGAUAUGACUCCUAUCCCUGAAUGCAAUGUGCAAAUAGUGUCUUAGGUAAGACUCAAAGAAAAUUUGACAAUACAGUCCUCUGAAUUCAAACUCAGUGACUCUACUUAAAUCAAACUUAAAGAAUGAGGCCCUGGAGAAACAAUGAACUUGCUCUUUUCUCUUUUCAAAAGGAGAUGUGUUAAGGGAGAACUUGGCUCAUUUGGCCUAAAAUGUACAAGGAAACCUCAAGAAACUACAAUGGACAGUCUAUAGAAAAGGGUUGUUUGGAAGAUCAAUGUGUGACUGGCACAGAUCAGAUAUGUGGGGAAAAAUAAACCUAUCAAAACAUUUGCCAAACCAAACCAAAUGAAACACCGACUGUACGGGCCAACGAAACUGCUAUCUCACUGCUGUUCCUGGCCUGAGCGGGGGAAGAGCUGGACCAAAACUAUGAGCCAGCCCUGUAAGACGCAGAAGCCCUGAUACACUGGGUACCAGUUACCUUCAUGUAAAAUGGAGAUAAUCAUCCCAAACUUUAUAAUAACCACAGGUGUUAGAGCUGAGUGUUAAAAUCUACAGUGCUAUGUAAACACAAGGCAUUAUCUUUUCCCCAAAUGAGACCAGACUAUCUACUGAAAUACAGAGUGGAGGGGAAACUAUUCUCAUUGCCAAAAUAAACACUUCUAUUUUCUCCUUAAAUUUCGCCUGUACCACUCAUUAAUAAAAUUGUUGCAGAUGAGGCUAAAAUGGUUCCUAUUGAUCCUGUGGACAGUCUCCACAGUUGGAAGGGAUUCCUACCACCAGCUUGAUUAGAAGUUAAUUCCCCUGUCAAUGGGACAUAGGGCUGGGGCUAUCUUCUCAUUCACACCUACAUGCAUCGGUUAUCUUCAGUUGGGGCUCUUCCAGCCUUAGGAACAAAUGAAACGUCCCGGAGUUGGGAAAAUUACAACAACUGCUAUAUAGGUCAGAUAAAAGUGGUGUUUUCAUACCAACUUGGGAUCUCUUACAGUAGCCCCUGACCUUAAGACAUAAAUAAAUACAAACAAUCUAACAUUUUUUUUCUCCUAAAUUCUCUGUUGAC
rnacentral:lncRNA from 1 species